UACGUAGGUGGCAAGCGUUGUCCGGAUUUACUGGGCGUAAAGAGCGCGCAGGCGGUCGUUCAAGUCGCGUGUGAAAGCCCCCGGCUCAACUGGGGAGGGUCACGCGAUACUGAUCGACUGGGAGGCAGGAGAGGGUAGUGGAGUUCCCGGUGUAGUGGUGAAAUGCGUAGAUAUCGGGAGGAACACCAGUGGCGAAGGCGACUUCCUGGCCUGUUCUUGACGCUGAGGCGCGAAAGCUAGGGGAGCAAACGGG
rnacentral:rRNA from 1 species